UACGUAGGCAGCAAGCGUUGUUCGGAAUUACUGGGCGUAAAGAGUGUGUAGGCGGUGCUCUAAGUCUGUUGUGAAAUCUCCCGGCUUAACUGGGAGGGUGCGGCGGAAACUGGAGUGCUAGAGGGUGGGAGAGGAAAGCGGAAUUCCUGGUGUAGCGGUGAAAUGCGUAGAUAUCAGGAGGAACACCUGUGGCGAAAGCGGCUCACUGGACCACAACUGACGCUGAGGCGCGAAAGCUAGGGGAGCAAACAGG
rnacentral:rRNA from 1 species